AAGCGUGGGGAGCAAACAGGAUUAGAUACCCUGGUAGUCCACGCCGUAAACGAUGAGUGCUAGGUGUUAGGGGGUUUUCCGCCCCUUAGUGCUGAAGUUUAACGCAUUAAGCACUCCGCCUGGGGAGUACGGCCGCAAGGCUGAAACUCAAAAGAAUUGACGGGGGCCCGCACAAGCGGUGGAGCAUGUGGUUUAAUUUCGAAGCAACGCGAAGAACCUUACCAGGUCUUGACAUCCGCUGACAACUCUGGAGACAGAGCGUUCCCUUCGGGGACAGCGUGACAGGUGGUGCAUGGUUGUCGUCAGCUCGUGUCGUGAGAUGUUGGGUUAAGUCCCGCAACGAGCGCAACCCUUGAUUCUAGUUGCCAGCAUUCAGUUGGGCACUCUAGAGUGACUGCCGGUGACAAACCGGAGGAAGGUGGGGAUGACGUCAAAUCAUCAUGCCCCUUAUGACCUGGGCUACACACGUGCUACAAUGGAUGGUACAAAGGGCAGCAAAGCCGCGAGGCUAAGCGAAUCCCAUAAAACCAUUCUCAGUUCGGAUUGC
rnacentral:rRNA from 1 species